rnacentral:rRNA from 1 species
AGAAUCAACGCUGGCGGCGUGCCUAACACAUGCAAGUCGAUCGAGAAAGUGGAGCAAUCCAUGAGUAAAGAGGCGCACGGGUGAGUAACACGUGACUAACCUACCCUCGAGUGGGGAAUAAACCUGGGGAAACCCGGGCUAAUACCGCAUAAUACCCACGGGUCAAAGGAGCAAUUCGCUUGAGGAGGGGGUCGCGGCAGAUUAGUUAGUUGGCGGGGUAAUGGCCCACCAAGACGAUGAUCUGUA